rnacentral:rRNA from 1 species
UGGGGAAUAUUGCACAAUGGGGGAAACCCUGAUGCAGCGACGCCGCGUGAGCGAAGAAGGUUUUCGAAUCGUAAAGCCCUGUCCUAUGAGAAGAUAAUGACGGUAUCAUAGGAGGAAGCCCCGGCUAAAUACGUGCCAGCAGCCGUGGUAAUACGUAUGGGGCGAGCGUUGUCCGGAAUUAUUGGGCGUAAAGGGUACGUAGGCGGUCUAUUAAGUCAGGUGUGAAAGCGUGAGGCUUAACCUCAUUAAGCACUUGAAACUGAUAGACUUGAGUGAAGGAGAGGAAAGUGGAAUUCCUAGUGUAGCGGUGAAAUGCGUAGAUAUUAGGAGGAAUACCGGUGGCGAAGGCGACUUUCUGGACUUUUACUGACGCUCAGGUACGAAAGCGUGGGGAGCAAACAGG